CAGUCGCCACGGUAAUACGAAGGGUGCAAGCGUUACUCGGAAUUACUGGGCGUAAAGCGUGCGUAGGUGGUGGUUUAAGUCCGUUGAGAAAGCCCUGGGCUCAACCUGGGAAUUGCAGUGGAUACUGGAUCACUAGAGUGUGGUAGAGGAUAGUGGAAUUUCCGGUGUAGCAGUGAAAUGCGUAGAGAUCGGAAGGAACAUCUGUGGCGAAGGCGACUAUCUGGGCCAACACUGACACUGAGGCACGAAAGCGUGGGGAGCAAACAGGAUUAGAUACCCGCGUAGUCCCUGUCUCUUAUAC
rnacentral:rRNA from 1 species